CUUACGACGACAUACAACUAUAAAAGUUGUCUGCCAACAGGUUUGUAGAUUAUUCGGCUAAAGUAAACAUAGUGAGCGUAAAAAUGUUGAUUACCGAAUACACAUGCAUGGAAAAAAUGUUUGAACAAUUCAUAAUUAAUUGUGAGUUAAAAUAUAACCAAGCCUAGCAAUCUAACUGAAUUGGGACCCAUGGAGAAGGAACAUGCAAGCAAACACGAUUGAAUUGAUCAAAAGCUUAUAUCCGCC
rnacentral:lncRNA from 1 species